AGAACACCCAGAGAGACCCAGAGAGACACAGGCAGACUCAGAGAGACUCAGAGAGACAGGAAGGCACAGAGAGACCCAGGAAGGCACAGAGAGAACAGAGAGAGACCCAGGAAGGCACAGAGAGACACAGAGACCCAGGAAGGCACAGAGAGACACAGAGACCCAGGAAGGCACAGAGAGACACAGAGAGAUCCAGGAAGGCACAGAGAGACCACAUAGAGACCCAGGAAGGCACAGAGAGACACAUAGAGACCCAGGAAGGCACAGAGAGACACAGAGAGAUCCAGGAAGGCACAGAGAGACACAGAGAGAUCCAGGAAGGCACAGGGAGACACAUAGAGACCCAGGAAGGCAUAGAGAGACACAGAGAGACCCAGGCAGGCUUUAGAGACAGACAGAGAGAUCCAGGAAGGCACAGAGAGACAAUACAGACAGAGGCAGGCACAGACACACACACAGAGACCACACACACACACACACACACACACUACAUACAUGCGGUGUCUCUCUUUCACACAGAUAGAGACAUGCAGAGACACACAGACACAUAUACACAGACACAAAGACACCCAUCUACCCACACACAUACACACCGCUCCUCAUGACGUCACUGAGGUUAGUGUAGCCACUGUAGCUGCUAAUGCACUUCACAGUAUCUCCUGAAAACUACAACUCCAGCCUUAUUUAUCCUCCUA
ensembl:lncRNA